GAUGAACGCUGGCGGCGUGCCUAACACAUGCAAGUCGAGCGAACAGACGAGGCUUUUGCUCCUCUGACGUUAGCGGCGGGCGGGUGAGUCACAUGAGUAUACCCUACCUAUAUGACUGAGAUCACUUCGGGACAGCGGAUCUAACACCCGAUAAUAUAUUGAACCGCAUGGUUCGUUGGAGAACGACGGUUUUGCUGUCACUACUAGAUGGUUCCCGGCCGCAUUAGCUAGUUGGUACGGUAACGGCUUACCAAGGCUACGAUGCGUAGCCGACCUGAGAGGGUGAUCGGCCACACUGGAACUGAGACACGGUCCAGACUCCUACGGGAGGCAGCAGUAGGGAAUCUUCGGCAAUGGGCGAAAGCUUGACGCAGCAACGCCGCGUGUGUGAUGAAGGUCUUCGGAUCGUAAAGCUCUGUUAUUAGGGAAGAACAAAUGUGUAAGUAACUAUGGACGUAUUGACGGUACCUAAUGAAAAAGCAACGGCUAACUACGUG
rnacentral:rRNA from 1 species